UACAGAGGUCUCAAGCGUUGUUCGGAUUCAUUGGGCGUAAAGGGUGUGUAGGUGGCGCGCUAAGUCGGGUGUGAAAUUUCGGAGCUUAACUCCGAAACUGCAUUCGAUACUGGCGUGCUUGAGGACUGGAAAGGAGACUGGAAUUCAUGGUGUAGCAGUGAAAUGCGUAGAGAUCAUGAGGAAGACCAGUGGCGAAGGCGGGUCUCUGGACAGUUCCUGACACUAAGACACGAAGGCCAGGGGAGCAAACGGG
rnacentral:rRNA from 1 species